CUCGAGUAUUUUCUGUAAUGAAAGAUAAGAUGAGAGACACAAGAUGUGAUUAAAAAAAAAUAGAUGUUUGGGUGCUGUUUGUGUAAAGGAGAGUUUAAAGUCCAGUUCCUUACACUGAAGAGUUCAGGGCCUUUUUUUUUAAAUCAAUUAUGUACGGCACCUCAGCCUACUUCUGUGCUCUCUCACACACACACCUGUUCACUCACCCACACAGCAAUUACUCUUCCUCUGCGCCUCCUGGUAUCCUAGCAACAGUUGCCUGGAUGGCAAGAGCAAACCACCACACCUUGCUCUGUCCUGCAGGCCUGUGAGGGUACUCAAAUAAUGAGUGCUAGCUAUAGGGGACUGCAAAGGGUCACCCAUUUCUACGUUGUUCUGUGACGAGACUGUUGAUAUGGAUUCAUGGCACAGAGAGAGACAGUGAGCUGCAGGGAGCUGUGAGCCAGCAUCGAUUUAAAUAAGCUGGCAUGAUAAGAAAGUGCGGAGAGGUUUCAAGGUCAGUGUACAACACAGACACGUCAGAUGCUGCAGUAUUGAUUCACCCACGGUGAAGUAAACUGUUUCAUGCAUUUGUCUGCAUUUGAACAUUUCCACACUGUCCACUUGCACAGGCGGCUGCUGGAUCGUGUAAUUUAUAGGUUUGUGUGUCAGCUCAGUGUCGCUUAGAUGAAUCCCAUUUUAGUUUACGUGACCGGUGUUAUAAUCCCUGCAAUGCCCGGUGAGAGCGAUCGGGACCAGCUUCAGAAAUGGAUAUUUUACAGGAUGUGGCGCCCUCUGGUGGUAGCAUACAUGAGGAGGCGAAAACUGCUGCCUCCCAGCACUUCGCAGCAGCAAUCUGUAGAUCCAGGAAUGAUGCAGCACUUCUAACUGGGUCAGCCUGUGCCUUCCUCGCAUCCCUCCCGCCUUCCCCACCAUCGCUUCAAGUCACCCCUCCUCUUCUUCCUCCUCCUUUCCCCCCACCCCUCUAUAUGCAAACACCCCUAUAGUUUUUUCACCAUGCAGCUCAUGUGCUGCCCCCUCUCGUCUCACUCUCGCCCCCACCCCCCUCCUUUUUUUCUGCCUGAUUCAUUUUCUCCCGUCCAUGCAUGCUGUCAUAGUGUCUCAGCCUGUUGCUAAAUGACUCCCAUCCCCUCGCACACACACACACACAGUCGCUUUACGCUGGCUAGCUGUUAUUGUGGUUUUCCCACACAAACCUGACUCUUAAGCAUGUGGAUCGUAAUGGUGUCAGUAGGUUUGUAUGUACAGGAAGGGCACAUUGCGUGGCAAUGUGAGCUCUAAAUGUAUUUCUGAGCUGCUCUUCAGAUUGGCUGAUACUCUCAGACCUCGCUGCGGUGGAGAAUAUAUAUGACUGAGCAGUGUCCAAUCAAAGAUUGUUACCAUGCAGCCACAUACUCUACAUAUGUGCAUCCAUACACGGCAUACAUUCAUAAAUAUCGCUGUAACUGUAAUAUAUUUAAAGCACUAUAACACUAUUAAUCGGUCCCCUGAGGGAAACACACUGCAUGAACCUUAAAGCAUACAUUAUAGAACAAAAGACAUGGACAUAACUCUAUUAUACCAAAGGGCAGGAGCAUGUAGCUACAGAGAGGGAACAUCCCCUUUCUUUAUUCCAGUGUGUGGCACAGUGUGGAUGAGACUUUUAAAAAAAGUGAGGUAAAUGGCAGAAAGG
ensembl:lncRNA